CAGAGGCUGUUAUCACUUGAAGGGCUGGAGUCUUGACUAUUGCUGUUUUCUGAGAGUGGAUGUAGCCUGCCCCGGGGCGAUGAUAUUAGUGCAUAGAACAUGGCUCACUGCUGCACAAAAGGUGGACAAAUCAGAGUCAUAUAACUUGCAGUGAUUUGUGCUGGUAUGUGUUCUGCAUGGAAUACUUCCACAGUUACCAGGGGGUAUGUAGAAAGAUCCAAAUAACCUAACGGCUGAGCAGUGAUGACAUCAGAGUGGCUGACCAAUUGCACGAAGGCAACUACAAAGCACAACAUUCAAAAAUGACUUCACUGAAGAACAAAAGACAAGACCCGCUGAAAUCCCUUAAAAUCCCUGCAGUGAAAUUCUUGAAAGCCUCUUACUACUCCUGUUUCCCUCCUUGAUAUUUUACCUCCAGCUUUUUUCUACAAAAUACAAAAAAAAAAAAAAAAAAAAGCAGACAGACUCAUACUCAUGAGAUGGAUGACAACGCCAGACACUGGAAGGACUAUCUCUUUAGUGGGAAGAUCACUGAUGCAUGCUUCUGUAAAUAGAUCAUAA